UAUUCUAAUAAGUCCGCUCACUCUCAGCAGCGACCCAAAUCAUCACCCUCCGUCCUCGCGCGUCCCUUGCCUGGCCGGUCGGUCGUCAGUGCCCGUCUGACGGGGGCGCCAGUUUAACAGAGUGUCUCCGAUUGAACAGUUCGCAUCGUUCCGGCCAGUUAUACUUAGUGCGUAAAAUAAACAUUUUAUUGGAACUUUUAUUCUUGUAGUUAUUUGAACAUUUUUUAUUGUUGUGAUGACUUCUCACCGUACCUUUUGCAGUGUGGAUUCUUGUGAUAGUUUACGUGAAAAUAUUUCAUUUUUUCGAUUCCCCAAAGAUGCCACAAGGUAAUAAAUUCAUCAAAUACAUAAUGUCAGUUAUAGGUCAAAAAUGUUUCGGUAGUAAUGUGAUUUAGAUACUAUUUAUAACUAAUGUUCAAACUAUAUUUCGCAGGUGUCAGCAGUGGAAAAAAGCAUUUGGUUUUGUUGGAGACCACAAAUAUGCUAACUUAACACCUGAGCAAGCCUACAUUAGAAUACGAGUUUGUAGAAAACAUUUUGACGAUGAAUCCUUCACUUCCUCUGGAAAACAUUUACUUACCACUGCUGUGCCCUUAAAGUUUCCAACAAAAUUGGACGGUAAUGAUCAAAACAAUGACAAUCCAGGUCCCUCCAGCGUAUUAGCUCCUUCAAAAUUAGAUGCGUGUACACAAACAGAUACAUGUCAUGAAGUUGAACAAGAAUUAAUUCCCAACAAAGAAACUGAUUAUGUACUACAAUCCANAAAA